AGAAACUUAGGAUAACUACCAAACCGAAGGCCUUCAAAGCCUUAAAUAAGAGUUAAACCCUCUUAGUUUCUGC
rnacentral:tRNA from 1 species